rnacentral:tRNA from 1 species
GGCUUGUUCGUUUAUCGGUUAAGACACCGCAUUAUACAGCGGAGAGAUAAGUUCAACUCUUAUACAAGCCA